rnacentral:rRNA from 1 species
UGGGGAAUUUUGGACAAUGGGGGAAACCCUGAUCCAGCCAUCCCGCGUGUGCGAUGAAGGCCUUCGGGUUGUAAAGCACUUUUGGCAGGAAAGAAACGUCAUGGGUUAAUACCCCGUGAAACUGACGGUACCUGCAGAAUAAGCACCGGCUAACUACGUGCCAGCAGCCGCGGUAAUACGUAGGGUGCAAGCGUUAAUCGGAAUUACUGGGCGUAAAGCGUGCGCAGGCGGUUCGGAAAGAAAGAUGUGAAAUCCCAGAGCUCAACUUUGGAACUGCAUUUUUAACUACCUGGCUAGAGUGUGUCAGAGGGAGGUGGAAUUCCGCGUGUAGCAGUGAAAUGCGUAGGUAUGCGGAGGAACACCGAUGGCGAAGGCAGCCUCCUGGGAUAACACUGACGCUCAUGCACGAAAGCGUGGGGAGCAAACAGA